GGCAACCUGCACCACAGUUCACAGCAACGCUGGAUCCUUAACCCACUGAGCAAGGCCGGAGAUCAAACCCAUGUCCUCAUGGAUCCUAGUCGAGUUUGUUACUGCUGAGCCACAACAGGGGCUCCAGAAAAAAGGCUUUUUUAAUCACUUCUUCCAUUAAGUCAUUUUGGAGAAGAACUAGGGCCAAAGUAGAGAUCUUAAUCUGGCAGCCGUGUGUUCCAUGUGGGUAAAUUGUCAUGGAGCCCAGAGUUUCCACAUGGGCCCUUAAACUUUUCUUGUGCCAUUAAUCCCUUUGGCAGUCUGGUCAAGCACAUGAAUCUCUCCUCAAAAUAAUAUUUUAAAGUUAGUACUAUGCCUAUUAUAUAGCAAUUAAAAGUUGUGAUACCUUUAUGGUUUUUGUUUUUUUUCAACACGUUGUAUAAUACUGUCUAGGACAGGAAUAACUACCAUACUAUGUAGUGUUGAAGGGAAAUGAUACUGCAACUACAUAACAUGACUUGUGUCUGAUUUCUUUUGGUGGUAAACCCACAGAUAUUGUUGAUACUGCUGUGGUUUAUGGCCUAUACUUAUAACUGAAAGAACUGGUAGGUUUCAAGUAGUGAUUAGUUAAAAUGAAGGUGUAAUUUUUUGUGGGUCCUUUGAUUUCUUUUCAUGGGUCACUUGGUGGUCCUAAGACCCCUAGUUAGGAAACUGUGUAGUUUAGCAAUUACUAAGAAGCCCUAGGAAGUAAAUGAAUGAACAGGGUGGUUCACCUUACCAAAUAAUCUACUUUUAUCUUGUUUUAUCUAUCAGAAUUUCACAUAAGAUUUCAUUUGAAAUAGAAAUGGUUUAUGGGGCUAAAUGUGUAAUUUUGAAAACAAUUGUAAACAAAAAAAUAUUGAUUCUUUAUCUUACUUUUUAACUUAAAACUUAACUUCCUUUAUAAACAUUCUCAGCAUGUUAGUGUACCAUUAAGUUUAUAACCCCGAAAAUAGAGAUUUAGAAGUCAACAGGAAAUAGUGGAAGGCGUGGAACACCAAUAAGACUGCCCAGCAAUAAUCCGUGUGAGUGUAGCCUGAGAUGAGGAACAGACUAAGAAGUAGCGAAGAAGAAGAAGUGAAGCCCUGGAAAGAAGACAGAGAGAGGUAGGAGAAGAACAUUUCCGUAACAUUAAAGAAGCAAAGGAUGUCAGUACUGUGGAGAUGUCAUAGAUGAUGACCAAAAAGAAUCCAGCAAACUUGGGCAGGAGGUGAGUGACCUUUCCUAUGGCAUUUUCAGCAGAGUGAGGUGGGCAGAUGCCAGAAUGAAAUGGCCUGAAGAGUGAAUAAGAGAUGAGGUGAAGAUAGUGUGGUAUAGACCGGUGCUUUUCAAAUGAAUGUGGUGAAACAGUAUCUGUAAUUUCCAACCUGUUAACUGACCGCAGUCCUGCCAUGCAUGUCUGGCGUGCCACUUACACCAUGUGUUAGGUACCCUAAGAACUGGAUGACAGCCAAACUGAUCUAGACUCUCUUAAGACAGGUCCACUGAUGCCAGGCUUGAAUGUCAUGGCCAUGUCACAUUGCUAUUCAAAUUUCUAAAUGCUUAUUCUUAAUUCUGUAUUGUAGUCUAGGUGCAGACUAUUCUUUCAAAAAGCUUACCUGUCAAGGAAGAGAGAGAAUAGCCCCUACUCUAUGGGGCUGACUUGUAGGAUUGAGAGAAGGUUUCUGCCAAUGUUAUUUCUUGCAACUUUCUCCUCUGAAUAUCUCCCGAUGUUCUUCAUGCUUCACAUUCUUUUCAGCCCCAACUUUGGAGCUCUAAUACCUAAAAUAGCUCCCUGGUACAUAGAAAGCAUUUAAAUUAAAAGGUUAUUAAAUGAAAAUUCAUGUGAACUGUGGAAGAUCUAAGUGGUCCUGUGUUUCCAGAUUUUACAGUAGAAUACCUCAUUUAAUCUCUGGAUAUUUAUUUUGCCUGUGGUCAGGGAAUUGUCAGGGAGAUGAUAAUUUUCACAGUUUUUGAGUGCUUUCAAUCACUACCCCCUGUUUUCAAAGAGGACAUCACUUACUCUUACUUAGUAGGACCUGUGCUUUGAGGGGUUUUGUUUGUUUUUUCAAAAUUGGGAGUGAAUAUGCCUCUUGCUUUGCCUCCUCUCCCCUCUUGGAGGACAGUUAUUAACAAAAUACUGGUCAGAUUUGGGUCUGUAUCAUGACCACAGAAUAAAGAGAACUGAAUUGACUGGCACAGAGCUCAAACCCAAGAGAAUAAUUUAACAGAAAGGACUUUGGUUUUCCACAAAACUCUUUACUUUCCUCUUUCUCUAAAGGGAGUGAUUUUCAAAUCUCCUCAUAUUUUUCUCAUCUACAGCAUUGCCCAUAGCCCACACAGAGGAACUCAAAUUUGUACCUGGAAAAAUGAGAAUUCUAAUCUAAAAUGUGGGCGAUAUGAAUAGGAACCAAAGAAAAGUGGACAAUUUCUGUCAUUCAGGCAGCAGACCUUUACUGAAUGCUUAAUAUGUGCCAGACACAUAUGUGCCAGAAACUUUAUGUAGGCUCGGGGACUACAAGCUCUACAUCAAGAUGAGAGAAGGAAGAUCCAAAUAAAGAUUUACAGACUUUACUGUCUGCGGUAUUCCUGGACCAAAGUCGGUGAAACUAGAUUACCUGAUGUUUAGCUUUCCAGUCUCAAGACCAGUCCUCAGUAUUCAAGGUUGUCUUAGGCACUUGGCUUGGAGUCAUCGAUUCUAACUCAAAGUAAUGUCAUUAUCUUUGAUCUCCAGUGACCUUUGCCUCCACUCACUUUUAUCCACUCCCUUCCAUGGUUGCACCCUGGGAACUGCUACCCAGUUGAAACAAUAGAUUGCUCAGUGCAGGAUCUGAGCCAUGUCUGCGACCUACACCACAGCUCACGGCAACACAGAUCCUUAACCCACUGAACGAGGUCAGGGAUCAAACCCAGAGCUUCUCUCUCUCAUUCCACUUUCUGGCCACAGCAUUCUGUUCUUCUUGCUCCCUCAUUCAGUUACUCUCCUGGCCCCUGUUUGAGUCUAACUGCUAUAAUAAACAAAUUUAAAUCUCUGUGGUUACAUUAGUUAGCCAUUGCUAUCUAAUAAACCACCCUAAAAUGUAUUGCCUUAAAACAGCAGUUAUUCAUUAUGAACACAGAUUUGCAGAUCAGCUGAGUGUGGCUGAGCUGAGCUCUGGAUGAGCUCAUGGCAGUGGCAGAGACAGAUGAGUGCAAGUGGAAGCACAAGCCAGGUCUUGGACCCUAAGCGCACUAACAGUCACUUCCCCUCACGUGUUAUGGACCAAAGCAAGUCACAUGAUCAUGCCCGAAGUUAAGGGGCCACAAGUGCAUCCAGUAUGAUCAGCAGGGGAAUGCUGCUCUACCCAGUCAUACCUCAACCCAACCUCCUUCUGCUGUGUGGUUCUCUCAUCUCUCUGGGCUUUAUCAUUCUCUGUAUCCAGCUGGCAGAGGUGGAAAGAGAGGCAAAGUGUGCAUGAUCACGGAGGCAGGCCGAGUAAUGACCCCAAGGAGGUCCUCAUUGUAAUCUCUAGAAUUGUGACUGUUACCUUACAUUGCAAAAGGGACUUUGCAGAUGUGAUGAGGGUCUUAAAUUGGGUAAAUUUUCCUGGAAUAUCUGAGUGGGCCCUAAAUGUAACUACGAAUGUCCUCAUAGAAGAGGGAGGCAAGAAGGUCAAAGGAGGAAGAAAUAAGCAUAUUUGAAGAUCAAAGAUGCCAUGAUGUGAGGAAGGGUUCAGAAGCCAAGGAGUGCAGCAGGUAGGAUCCAGAAGCUAAAAAAAACAAGGAAAUGGAUUCUCCACUAGACCCUCCUGAAGGAACCAGCCCUGCUACACCCUGACUUUAGCUAGUGAAACUGAUUUGGAACUGAUGGCCUCUAUCAAUAAGAUGAUACAUUUGUAUUGGUGUUUUGUUGUGGGGU